CUCCUCAUCUCCUGCUCCCUUCACAUACCCCUCCAUCUCUCUCCCAAGUCCCAAGGAGGCGCGGCCGUAGGGCGACGGCGCCCUCGCAGGCGGCGCGCUGGCACGAGCAGGCCAUGGCGGCCCUCCUAGAUCCUCCGCUGCCGGUGCCCAUACUGAAGGUCCUCGCCGCCACCGGCACCACUCGGACGGCCACGGCUGUGGCCCCUGCUGUUGGCGGCCCCGGUACGGCGUGGCGCAGGCGGUGCGCCGUUGGUGGCCACGGCUGCCCCCUUCCCGGCUUCCCCCUACCCACACUAGCGAGGGCUGGUGCCGGUGUUCUACACCGCUAGGCGCUCUGCUUGACCUCCCGUCGUCUGAUCGAUAGGGCCAACAGGGCAACGGCUGCCAGUACGGGACAAAACGGCAAGAGGGCAAAGGCCGCCGACACCCACGGGGACUGGGACAAUGGAAAAUGCCAUCGAUCACGGCCUGUUUUUCUCCUUGGACAAUCUCCUGCAGAUCCGGAACAGAUCGAGAAGGUGAGUUGCUUCGCUUUCUAGGUGAUUUGGAAUUUUUCUCCACCUUAGGCUGAUUCAUUAGUUUGUUGGUUGUUUGCAGCCUGAAGAAUAAUUGAUUAAUUUUGUAGAGUUAGGAAAGAAGCAAGUUUUGCUCGCUUCCUCUCUGUUCUGUAAACCAUAUAUUCUUUAACGAUGUCAGUUUCCAUGUAUUUAAGGUUUGACACAAAAUCUGAAUUCUAACCCACCCUAAUAUGGACAAAUAUAAUAUAUGGCAAUAGAGAAAUUGUUAGUUGAGUAUGUUUUCGAUCACUAUUACCAUCACCCCUACAACAUAUAAAGCCAAAGCUUAUGGAUAACUGUGUUUUCACUAGAGCUACAUGUAUUUCCUUCAUGACAGAGAGGCUCAAUGUUUUAAAUCUUUUGUUCUUAUCUUACAACUAGCAUCUUGUCAUAUUUUGUGGUCUUGCAGGAUUGAGAUGCUACAGAGUUCAAACAUGUUGGGAAGUGCCAAAAUUGAUGGCUAAUAUGUGAUAAUAAAAUCAACACAUUUUAAAUUAUUUGUUUUCACAGUGAAACAUAGCAUUGCACUGGUACUUUUGGCCUCAAAUUUGCACUGGUACUACUGAAGUGUUUUAACUUUCAGAAAUCAACGGCUUGUCUCAUGUUUGGGAGUUGAAAUACACACCUACACUCUUGGCUUUCUUGCAGGGUUUUGUUCCUUGAAUCUUAAUGAUAUUUUGAUUGUUCAUUUUAUUUUUUUAUAAUGUUUAUCUUAUUUUGUAUGUUACUGUAGCAGGCACACUGGGGAUUGGCAACGACCUCUGAACAGUAUGUAGAAGAAUCGCAGAAUAAGAUAUUAAAGUCUUUACUUGGCCAGCAGUUCCAAUGUUGCAGUACAAGCACUGCUGCAAUUCCAGAUUGCCGAGAGUUACAGACAAGAGGGUCUACGCUGGUCUGAUAUGUGCAUGCUGCAUGAACAAGUUUGGACUUUGCAUUCACCAGUUGCACUCAUCCGUCAGACUCUCUAAAAGCAUUUUCUAUUUAAUGUUCUUGUGUACUGACUUGCGGAUGUGAAGACCGUCAGGAUGGAAAGGGGUGUGAAGGCCGUCAGGACUAACUCGCCUCAACUUUUGCUGGGUUAACUAGCUCUAAUCACAGCUUGUACAGUUGCCGGCUAUAGAUUUUUAUGCCUUUUCAAUUUUUUAUCUUAAUGUGUCCCGUGCUUCAAAUUAAAUAAGUUAAUUAUACUAUGCGAGACAUGACUUUAUUAUGUCUCAUUAUGCAUGAGUAUUUUUUUGUAUUAUAUGUAUGGUCACAUAUAA